UACGGAGGGGGCUAGCGUUGUUCGGAAUUACUGGGCGUAAAGCGCACGUAGGCGGAUUAGUAAGUUGGGGGUGAAAUCCCAGGGCUCAACCCUGGAACUGCCUUCAAAACUACUAGUCUUGAGUUCGAGAGAGGUGAGUGGAAUUCCGAGUGUAGAGGUGAAAUUCGUAGAUAUUCGGAGGAACACCAGUGGCGAAGGCGGCUCACUGGCUCGAUACUGACGCUGAGGUGCGAAAGCGUGGGGAGCAAACAGG
rnacentral:rRNA from 1 species